AUCUCAGAAACCGCAAGGGCAAGUUCAGUUCAAGGACCAUGACCACGAAGAGACUUCUGGAGUUAGUUAGUAGCUAAUAGUUUGUAGACUCAAAUAGAACAUGCAUCCACUAGAAUUGUGGGGAUAUUCUAUUUCCAGAAACUCCCUAGCUUGAUGAACAGGGUCUGUGAUUGCUCCAGACCCCAAGGCAAGCCCCAGGCCCUGCAAUUUUGCUGAGAGGAAGUGGCCACUCAACCAACCCCUGGUGGGGAGUCUUCCAUCCCCCAAACCGCCCCCAGAAAUGGCCGUGGAAAUCCUCAGCAAGGGUGUCCUAGUAGUUGAGAUAGACCCCAACCCAGGCUGGCCAAUCAAGUCCCUGUUUCUCUAUCCAGAGGGAUUGGUUCGAUUAUGGACAUGGGACCUAAGCAGGGCCAAUCAUAAUUGACAGAUGAGUAUUGGAUAAGAAGGGUCCUCUUUAUCCAGAAAAUGCUGAAAGAGUAAAAGCAACUUCAAAUUCAGCAGUAGGCCCUCUUUUCUUACAGACUCUUCAGUCCUCCCAUCAGAGAUUUGUCACUAGUUGUUUCCACCCAUGAAAGUCUGGAGCCUCAGACCAUCAGUUUUCCUUUGACCUACGGCAUGAGUUAUUUAGACGAUCUGUUUUAAUUUUCAAAUCUUUGGAUUUUUUGUUGUUACUGAUUAACUUCAUUGUUCUUGCUAGACAAUGGGAUCUGUACGAAUCUAUGUGAUCCGUAUGUUUGAUGCUUUCAACCUUCUUUAGAUUUGCUUUAUAUACUUGUAGGUGAUUGAUUUUUACGGGAUAUAUCUUGGGUGCUUGAAAAGAAUGUUUUCCUAACUUGAUUUGUGCAGAGUUCUAUGUAAGUCAAGCAUUAUUUGUGUUGUUCAAAUCAUCAAUAUUCUCACUAACUUCUGUUUUUUAUCUGCCUGGUCUGUAAAUUACACACAGGUGUAUUAACAUAUCCCAUUAUGAUCAUGAAUGAGCUAAUUUCUCCUUGCUUUUAUAAUUUUUUCUCUUUUUUAAAAAAAAAAUCAACAAUUUUUUAGAGAAGUUUUAAAUGCACAGCAAAACUGAGCAGAAGGUAAAGGGGUUUUCCAUAUACUCACUGACCCCACACAUGCACAGCCACCCCCAAUAUCAGCACCCCCCCACCAGAGGGGUACAAUUAUUGAUUUUAUGCUGAUGUGUUUACAUUAGUUCUCUCUUAUUGGUCUACAUUCUAUGGGUUUGGAUAAAUGUAUAAUGAUAUGUAUCUACCCUUAUGGUAUCUGAUAGAGUAGUUUGACUGUCCUGAAAAUCCUCUGUGUUCCAACCUGUUUAUCCCCCCAUCACCCCCAGCUCCUGGAAACCAGUGAU